UACGGAGGGUGCAAGCGUUAUCCGGAUUCACUGGGUUUAAAGGGUGUGUAGGCGGGCUGGUAAGUCCGUGGUGAAAUCUCUGGGCUUAACUCAGAAACUGCCGUUGAUACUAUUUGUCUUGAAUAUUCUGGAGGUAAGCGGAAUAUGUCAUGUAGCGGUGAAAUGCUUAGAUAUGACAUAGAACACCGAUAGCGAAGGCACCUUGCUACAGAAUGAUUGACGCUGAGGCACGAAAGCGUGGGGAGCAAACAGG
rnacentral:rRNA from 1 species